rnacentral:rRNA from 1 species
UACGGGGGGUGCGAGCGUUGUCCGGAAUCACUGGGCGUAAAGGGCGCGUAGGUGGUUUGAUAAGGGUGUGGUGAAAGUCCGGAGCUCAACUCCGGAUCUGCCGUGCCGACUGUCAAACUCGAGGGCUGUAGAGGCAGACGGAAUUCCGGGUGUAGCGGUGAAAUGCGCAGAUAUCGGGAGGAACACCGGUGGCGAAGGCGGUUCUCUGGGCCUGACCUGACGCUGAGGAGCGAAAGCGUGGGGAGCGAACAGG